ensembl:snRNA U4atac minor spliceosomal RNA
ACUUCCCUUGUCAUGGGGUUGAGGACUAUCCAAUGAGCGAAAAGCAAGAACAGGCCUGCUAACACAAUAUCAACACAAAUGCAUCACCUGACUUCAAGUCAGAUAAUGGUGCAAUUUUUGGCAAC